UUCGUUACUGCCCAAACAACUUCAUUACUCUGCAGUACUAUGUCAGAACGUAUCUUUCCUGAGGCGAUGCGUCCUCUGAGUGACGGGCUGGAGGGAGCUGCUCUGGGAUUCGGCGCAGAAGUAGGCAACGCGGCAAUUAGCAGAAGGGCAACAGCUGCAUUUUAGGAUUCCAUAAAAUGGGCAGGAUUGCAUGUGGCGAAACUUCCUGCAGUAAAUGGGAGGGCACCUGAACCUUCUGCAGACCUGCAGCUGUGUCCAAGCUCCCUUACGAGGAUCCACUUGAAAAGGCUUUCCUUCCGUCCUUUCUACUGGUAUUUCAGGGAAUGGUCAUAGAAGAGCAGCAGUGUUGAGGCUGGCAGGGGCCUCGGGAGAUCGUCCGCUCCAACGCCCAGCCCACAGCAGGGUCAGCAGAGCAGUUGGGUUGUGAAUACGUCCGAAGAUGGAGACUCCACAACCACACUGAACCACCUAUUGAUGGAUGUGACUCGGGUUUUCCGAAGCCGAGGCGUUUCUGCAGGUCAGGUGCUGCCGCCGCUUGUGUUAGGGCCACGCGCAGGAGAUGCAGCCGGGACCGAGUGCUUUUGAUCACGGAAUGUUGUCUGAAGAUCAGCUGGAACCUCCCCAAACUGAACUGCCAAUGUGUUCAUCCCUGCUGAGCGGUACAUGAAGUUCUCUGAAGCAUCUCCAGUUCCACUUUCCAAAGUUUCACAAGAGACUCAGGCAAAGCAACAGUGAAGAAUGGUGGCGUGUGAACAGUUUGGGAGCCCACCUACUCCUUGCCCCGCUGUAUGAGAGACCCAGACAGAAAGCUCACCUGCCCCUAGACAAGGACUGGUUUUAAGAUUGCUGAUGCUGGCAACAAGUCUUGCUCUGGACUGCUGUGACUGCUGCCUGUCAUCCGCACCAAAUCAGGAUGAAGAGGAUUUUUAGAAGUCAAGACUCUUGAGGGAAGCAGCUGUUGAGUUCUUCCCAACUGAAGACCCAAAAUUCUCAACAUGUCUUCUAGUUUUGCGACGUGGCCUGGAGUUUCUGUCUGCUUGCGAUCUGCCCUGCCUCUGCCCAGCGCUGCCUCUUGCCUUUCCCUGGAGAUGAAGCUCUCCUUGUAGACAUAGCUACAACUGGUUGUCAAAGCACAGAAGAACACUGUUAAGGAAAAAGGCUUGUACAAAUACAGUUACACAUGAGCUUUUGUACAAGAACAUCUUCUAAACUGGUGAAGUGCCGUUGAUGCUCGGAGUGCCUCUGAGGGUAUUUUCAGAUCCUCAUGUCCUCCUCCUCACCUUAGAAAUCUUCAGUAUUGCACUAAGCUACAUGAUGGAUAUCUCACAGCAAGUCAGCUUUAAAGCCAGAAGCAGAGACCUCGAGUCCUGACCUGCCCCCCUUCUGGUUUUGUAACCUACACUGCCCUAUUUCUAAGAGUCCUGGAGCAGUCUCAGGAUCUCAGCCUGUCAGGAUGCUAUGUGCUGUAUCUAUGCUGUUGCACCUAUCACCAUUGCCCUGCUCUUCCACAUUGUGGCAGUGGAAUGAAUUUGCUUUAUUAUACCUGUAUUCCACUGGCACAGGAUUUUAUAAUAAACUACAACUGACGUGAAACAUUGAGAUACUAGUGAUUUCCACUAGUCAUUUCCAUGGUGUGUAGGUAAAUAUAUGCUAUUAGACAAUUCCUGCCUAUAAUCAGGUUUAUUGCUGACUGUAAUACAGCAGUACUUUUGUCAUGUUUUCCAUGCUUUUUUCCCCAUUUUUUAAAAAUAGUUCUUAAGCUUUUCUUGAUGCUUUGAUAGUUAUUUGUUAGCAUUAUAUUCUUUUGAUACUCCGAAGAAUGGAUUCGUAUCAUUGCCAUUCCCCUGAUACCACAUUUAAGUGUCUUGUGAGUUUGUAUUUGUUUCAACACUGUCCUCUACUCUAUAUGACUCUGAAGUUAGUUGCAAAUGAAUUUACAAAUCCUGUUGCCUACUGCUGGAACCUGUGUACCUGCUGAAAGAAAUACUGGUGUUCUCUCUAAUAUUGUGUUUUAUCACACCAUGAGAGCUGGGAGACAGAAAAGGAAAACUGUCCCCCAAUGAAAACCCAAGCAAAACCUAAUUGCCCAAGUCAGAGCACUGGGCUGCUUUUUCCCAGCUUCCAAAGAACUCAUCGCAACCCCUUCUGAUAAAGGAUCUCUCUGUCAUUAGCAGUUUAAUAAUAACGAUAAACGGAAUUGUGUUACAAAAAGUUAUUUUUCCUAACAUGAGUUUUAAGAGACAGCGUCAGAUAAGAAAGAUAAGAGAAAGCAGCAAAUCUCAGAUGAUCCACAAUCUGAAUUACCGCCUAUAUAUGUAUGUUAUUACUACAUGGGUGGACAAGAUUAUACUGUGGCAUGUUAAAUGAGUAAGUCAUUUUGUAAGAAUGGUAGAUGCAGGUAUUUUCUUUCAUGUUAAGAAAAUAUUCAAUAGAACUUGUGGUGAGAUUAAUUUAAUAAAUGUUGUAGCUUAGCUGUAUCUGAUUACAGAAGAAAAAUAGCAAGUAUUGCUUCUCAUUAUUGACUACAUGUUUGAAAUGUACUAAUACAGGUAUUAUCGUUCAGAACUCUGCUGGUGAUCGUACACUAUAUUGCAUAUUUUCUGCAAUAAAUUUGAGCAACAGGAACAGCAAGGGUCUAACUGGAGCUCAAGUAUCCCGCUCUCAAGAUGAUGGUGCACUGUUAAUUGAAUCAAAGC